AUAAUAUGAUGAAUUGAUCUAUCACCAUCUUUCGACUGAGAGUUUAAGAUGAUACUUCUUGACUGAUGUUAUUC